UACGGGGGUGGCAAGCGUUGUCCGGAAUUACUAGGCGUAAAGGGCAGGUAGGCGGAUUGGUAAGUUAAUCGUUAAAGACCGGCGCUCACCGUCGGUAAGGCGGUUGAUACUGUCAAUCUGGAAUCGAGUGGGGGAAGACGGAAUUCCUGGUGUAGCGGUGGAAUGCGCAGAUAUCAGGAGGAACACCAAAGGCGAAGGCAGUCUUCUACGCUUGUAUUGACGCUAAACUGCGAAGGUGCGGGUAUCAAACAGG
rnacentral:rRNA from 1 species